GCAGAUCAGAAACUAAGUUUCCCAAAGGGAAUAUUGAAGAACUUCUGCAUCCGAGUUGGUACCUUGUACGCCCCAGCAGACUUCGUGGUGAUAGAGACUGGUAUUGAUGAGAGGGCAUCCAUCAUCCUAGGGAGGCCAUUCCUGAACACCUCGGGAGCUGUCAUCUACGCUAGUGCUGCCAAGAUCAGUUUCUACAUUAAGGCGAGGAAGGAGACAUUUUCCUUCAAGAGCAAGAUUACACAAAUCUCAGAGCAAUCCCAACAUGAACCAAGGAAGAGGACCAAGAGGAGGAACAGGAACAAGCAAAUGUGGACCGAGUCAGCUAAGAUGGUCACUGCAGUUCAAGGAGGUCAAGACCGUCGACUUAAGUCACCGUUCCUGACCAAAAAGGAUGACCCAGUCACCUAUCAGCUCCUGUUCGGAACUAUGCCCUUAAAACCGACAUAUACCCAGCUCUAGAUGGCAGAUAAGACAUUCUGAAGGGUUGAAGGUUAUUGACUUGGGAGAAGACGAGUACGAUCCACCCAUCAUCCUUGGGAGACAGUUCCUCAGCACCGCUAAAGCAAUCAUCUACAUUGGAACCGGAGAAGUCCACGUGCACUUCCCCUCUGAGAAGGUACGCCUCUAUUUUACUGACCCUAACUAUAUAGUUGAAGAUUCUAAGCAGGUCAGGACAAGAAGAAGACGACGCAACCGCAACCAGAGAAGGCAAAUCAUCAAGGACGGAUGGGCGGACUACGAAGGAAAAGUGGUAAUGUCUAAAGACAUACAGCUUGAACAGAACUGUCCUAAGGAGAUCGUAGCACCAAGUCAGGUGUGGAGAGAGAAUACACGAAGAGGAGGCACUGCCGGAACCACCGACUACGCCAUCCAGCGAAUCCCAGGACGACUAAUAAAAUGGAGAGUCCCGUUCGGAGGACUUAAAAACACCGAACGCCUUGCCAAGAGGUAAACUUGGUAGUUAUCCUUUUCUUUUCAAUUAUCUUAAAAUAGUUUGCUUAGUUAAUCUGGUUCAUAUCAUCUUGAAAAGAAAAUAAAAAUGUUAAAAAUAGUAAGCCCCAUGUGAGUAUGCUCAUGGCAUAAAACCCAUAAGUACAUUCACUGUGGUGGCAUAAAAAAUAAAAUAAAUAUAUUCCUGUCCUAUAAAAAUAAAAAUACAAAAAUAAAUUUAUGGUCCUACUAAAGAGUGUAACAUUUAUUGAGGAGGCUCAACACGAUAAAGGCUAGAUAUUUAUGCUAACACUUAACUAGUUCCACAAAGCUUUGUUGUCUAUUUGAGCUCCACAGAAUUCAAGGAUCAAAGAAGACUAGCAGACAGAGGACAUCCUAAUCACUGUUAGAGUGCUGCCGACAUUGAAAUACACCUCCACCACUUGCUAGCUACAUCAGUAGAAAUUACGUCAAGAUCCAGCUUGGGGGAGAGCACCCCCAUUUAUCUAGCUAAGUAUUCUACUCAUGUUUAUACUUUACUCAAAUAAUAAAAAGUUGCAUAAUCAUAAAAACCUAAAUAAAGAUUUUGUGCUUAUAUAUAUAUAUAUCUUUGCUUAGUUUACUAAAUAAAUAAAUAAACAAAGUUUGCUAUGAACCCUCAUGAUAAGCUCUCACUUGGAAAUGAUGAAUAGUUGCUCUGCCUAGUUCUCAAAGUUGAAAUCUCUCUCAAGUUUAGGCAUGACUGUUAUUAAUUAAGAUUUGCUCUAAACCUGAACUUGUGGGGAGAGUACUUGAUCUGAAAUCUAAGUCAUUAACGGAUAUGAUAUGGGAAGGUUGAGCUGCUGUUUAUCUGAUCCUAGAGAUGCUAGAAUUCUGGAGAACUUUAUCUUUGAAAAUCUUUAAAAUGUUGCAUAAUGAGUUCCUGUAUGAUGAGAGUUUAAAUUCCUACCACAGCCAUAUAUACAUGCUUGCUAAAACUUUGAGCCACACAUUUACUUUACUGCUUAUGAGCAUUGAGUGUGGUCAAGCUGUGUAGACCCUUAGGAGCUUGUCAUGUGGUUAAAUCAAGAUUCACUUGCAUGUUCACUCACACAUGCUGCUUCUACUUCGGAAGUACGCAUCCACAUAUAUCCACCCAUUUCCAUCUCUAGAAUCACCCAAAAAUAUUCUACUCCUAAUCCGGGAGAGAAUAGCCAAAAAUAUUUAUGUUAUUCCCCUAUGAAAUAAAUGCUCAAGUUAUCUUGGUUACUACCACUUGCUAUAUCAUUUCAGGAGAUGAGUGCUCUAAAAAAAGAGAAAAAAAAGAGAGAUACGAGGAAAUAAAAAGGGGCAAGUGCCCGGAACCUCGAAAGAAAAGAAAAAGUGAGACGAGAGGUAAAAAUGGACAGGUGUCUGUUGACGGUCCUUAAGUAUCAAAUUUACUUAUCAAAUAAACAAAGAAAAGGAUCCAAAUGAAAUCAACAUCUAGACUUAGGGUUUUAUUUGACAGAAUUCCACGAGUUUUGGUGUUUGUCUAUUUCUGCAGGGGGUUAUCAGGAAAUAAGGAAGAAAGGCCCACAUGUCGGGAUUACAUAGAGAUAUCAACCCACCGCGCAAUUUUCUACCAUCUAGAAGACUCCAGAAGCCACGGGAAGGAAGCGGAGCCCGAAAGGGGCCAGGCCCAGGGCGCCCGCCCUGAGGACCUGGGCGCCCGCCCCCCUCUGGACUCCGUUCCGGACUAUCUUCGCACACGACGUUCCACCGACCUAUUGGAUCCAGAAUAACAUAGUACCACCUCGCCUAUCGACCCAAAAACGCAUAGAAGGGGAGGACUAUAUAAGGAGACCCCCUCUGGCCCCUGGAGGAGACAAGAAAUUAUCAUAGAGAUUGAGGGGUGCCCUCGAAGGAAAACCUCUUCUCUAAAUAAUAUUUCUUUUUAGGCUUAGGAACCAAUGUAAAGUAGAAAUAGAUCUUCUAGUUUCUACUAGAUUGAGAGAGAUAGAGUGGAGGUGUGGAUCGGAGGAAGGCCGGCCUGUCGGUGUCUACUCCGAGUUGUACCUGCAGGAUCAAGUCUCCUAACCCGAGGCUUGCUUCUAAGAUUCUUUAGUAAUUCGACUUCUAAUACUAGUAAGUUCUUGUUUUAUUGUUCUUUGGUUUAUGAGUUUACUUUAAUCCUCUUCCAGUUGAGUAUUAGAGUAAUCACUUGUUAGCGUAAACGUGGUGUUUAGGCUAGGGUACUCAUAGAUAUCCCCUGACUAGCUGGACCGUGGUAGUAGCGAGGAACGUGACAUUUCCGAGUUACCUUUGCAGACCACAUCUCGUUAGCAGGAUGGGUAGGUUUAUAGGUGCGGGUCGAAUAUCCUUUGUGUUGUCUAGAUUCCGUGAGCCUCCCCAAUAGAACAGUAGAUCAUCCUUACCAAGGUUAGAACGAGACUACAGUUGCAGUCUUCUCUAUACAUCACUCACAUCGAGAGACAUUCUUUGUAGUCUAAAGGGAUAGUAGCAAUAGAUUUGGUUAGUCAGAUGCAACCUUUCUCCCAGUGGUAAAAAUAUAAAUACGAUAACUCUGGAUAACCUCCCGGGUGAAAUGCUCACUGAUAUCCGUGCGCUUGCGGAUCAUUUCCUUAUUGCGUUACCAUAUAUCAACAAGCAUUUCUGGCGCCGUUGCCGGGGAGAAAGACGGUUUGCUGAGAUAACUUUGAAUCUUGCUAUUAUCUUGUAUUAUACUUUUAUACUUUUAUUCUUUUAUCUUUUUGUUUUUAUAUUUAUGGAUAACUCAAAUUCCAUACUUAUUAUUAAAUUCUUUGCACCUUCGGAGACCAGCCAUAGACCAUGGGAGUCAACACGUCCUGUCCCUAAUUAUGAUUCGUGUCCGGAGUUGAUUGCAAUAGGUCAAAACCAACCCUUUUCUAUAGCUGAGGUCCUAUCUUUUAAUCAAGAAGAUAAUGCACUUUUAGCUACACCUAGGGAAUCUGUUAAUCUUUCUAUAAAUUCUGGUUUAGACCUAGCCCUACAAGACCAUGUUUUUCCUGAAUAUUUUCACAUUGGUCUUAAUUAUAUAACCUUUGGUAGAGUCCUUCUUUCUUUAUCUAUUAGUAAAGGAAGGUAUGUCUUCAUUCGUGGACAUCCUUCUUGUACUAGUCUUCAUAGAAAAAUCUUAGAAAUAGAGAAGGAAUCAUCUCCCAGACAAGGAAAGGAAGUUUCAAUAGCCAAUUUCCAAACAUUUCAAACCCAUAAUUCGGCUAUCCACAUCUUCCUUGAGCUUAAUAAAUUCUACUAUGCUCUUUCUCUUAAACCUCCCGAUAAUCAUAUGAAUCUCUCUAGACAUCCCAUGCAUAAGAAGGAGGAUCGAGAAGAGCAACAUCAAUGGCUAGAGGGCAUUAAAAAUCCAUGUGCUAUCACCAUUGAAUGGAUAGAUAAAACAAACUUGAGAGACAAUCCUAGAGGAAUUUUAAACAUUCAUGAAGAAUCAUCCUUGGAGUUUGAGAAUGAGAGAAACAACAGUGAGCAUGGAAGUUAUUUCAUAAAUACCUCACCCAGUCCUUGCUCAUAUAAAACAUCUUUCCAAUCAAUUUGUCUCUCCAUCCUUACCACAUUUGAGAUCUCCAACCCCCUCUUCUUUUCUAUUUAUAAAAACUUUAAACGGGCGGUUGUCGAUGCAUAUGUCUAUAAUAAAUAUUGCAGAUCUCGUUGAGUUAAUUGAUGGUUCCCCAAGGACAAGCUUAGCGUCCUUAAACAAGCACUUAUCAGAUCGUAACAUGAACUUCUAAUUAUUUGCAACAUUGCCUUGUGUAUUGAGCAUAUGAGAUAAAUGUAGAAAUAUUCCUUCGGGUAUUCUUGCCACUAACCUUUUCAGGAAUAGAGCAAGAAGAUCGGAUGAAUGACAAGCGCAAGGUAUGCCCAACCAAUCAUCAUGCAACAUUAAAUUAAAUUCAUCCAAUCUUGAAUUUUGCAAAAUUCAAGCUUGGGGGAGUACUUUACAUAAAACAUCCUUUGCCAUGUUGGUUGUCCUUACCUUUGAGACAUGCUCAAUUUGUUAAAUAAUCACACUACUUCAUCUCCACUUGAGUAGAUCUCUAUAAAAGCCAUCAUGCUACCUUUGUUUAUCCUAGUAAGUGUUAGUUUGGAAGUACUGGUCACACUUCCAAUGGCAUUUAAAUUAAGCGUGGUGCUUAGGUUAAAUAGCCUUCCUUAAUCUGAUUAGACAUGGAGUCUAGUUUGGUUACUGAACUAAAAACUGCUUGAGUAGAUAUUGGUAUAUUUUGGACUAACCCCUGCAGGAAAACUUUCAAUAUCAACCUGGGAAGUCCUAAGAUAAACUCACAUUUGAGAUGAAGAAAGUGACACAUGAAGUUUAAACAAUUUGCACAAGAAAGACGUAGCUCAUAAGAGAUGAUUCAUGGAGGGUGCCACAAACACGAUGCACAACCGCUAAGAAAGGAAAGCUUCCACGAGGUAAUACUGUACCGUCACUCUUCAAGUAAGGUAACAUUUUAAGGUACUUGACUAUCACUUUUAUAAGCUUCUCCAUGGUUCUAGCAUUCACAUAAAUAAAGAGACAAACAUGUAUGAUUUAUAACUCCAAAUUAACCAACCCAAUUAAUUCGACAUGAUUAGUCCUUUAAUCUUUGUUCUUAGUACUACCUUCGUGAUCCCACACUCCUAAUCAUAUAAGCUAAAAUGUUGCACAUUCAAUCUUUGGAAGAUAUAAACAAAACAUAAAUAUAGAUAGAUUAUCUUUCCAUCAGGUUGAGCCAUCUGAUCUAACAAAUGUUUUAAAUGCUACACUCAUGAUCCAUCAACUUUGUCUUGCUCACUAUGCUUAAGGUUAGAGAAGAACAAAUAUACUUUUGGUUCUGUUGGUGUUUUCCACCAACAGGGCCCAUGCACUUGAUCUCUGCCUUGUCUUUAUGAACAGGUACACUUCAAACAAAACAUGGAGGAGUUUUACAACUCCUAGAUUCCACGAAGUGAAGAACCGGAAUCUACGAGCACAAACACACUGGAGAUACUGGACGCUCAGGCAAUCACUGCCCUGAGAUGCUUGAGGACGUGAACUACAUCAACAACAAUAACAACUAUUACUACAACUAUCCUCAACAACAUCAAGGUUGGAAUCAACAGAGGCCUAAUUACUCAGAGAGGUGAUCUAGGACGCCCCGUCAUCCCGAUCUCCAUCGGCAUGGUGGACUUCCCAGAAGCACUCUGCGACUUUGGCUCCAGCGUCAACAUUAUGCCCAGGGUUGCAGAUCGGACACUCAGUUUCCCAAAGGAAAUAUUGAAGAACCUCUGCGUCCGAGUUGGUACCUUGUAUGCUCUAGCAGACUUCAUGGUGAUAGAGACUGGUACUGAGAGAGGGCACCCAUCAUCUUACGGAGGCCAUUCCCAAACACCAGAGCUGUCAUCUACGCUAAUGCUGCCAAGAUCAGUUUCUACAUCAAGGGGAAGAAGGAGAUUUUCCUUCAAGAACAAGACUACACAAACUUCAGAGCAAUCCCGACAUGAACCAAGGAAGAGGACCAACAGGAGGAACAGGAACAAGCAAAUGUGGACCGAGUCAGCUAAGAUGGUCACUGCAGCUCAAGGAGGUCAAGAUCGUCGACUCAAGUCACCUUUCUUGAUCAAGAAGGACGACACUGGUGUUCCAAGAAUCGAAUGCACAAACAAUGGAUACUCUUUUUAGAAGACACUCUACGACACCGGAUCUGACGACAACAUAAUGGCCGCAGUCACUUAUCAGCUCCUGCAUGGAACCAUGCCCCUACAACCAAGAUACAUUCAGCUUCAAACAAUUUUCAGGUCAUUGACAUAGGAGAAGAUGAGUAUGAUCCAUCCACCAUCCUUGGAAGACCGUUCCUCAGCACUAUCAAAGCCAUUAUCUAUAUUGGAACCGGAGAAGUCCACAUGCACUUCCCCUCUGAGAAAGGUACGCCACUACUUUAAUGAUUAUAUAGUUGAAGAUUCUAAGCAGGUCAGGACAAGAAGAAGACAACGCAACCGCAACCAGAGGAGGCAAAUCAUCAAGGACGGAUGGGUAGACUACGAAGGAGAAGUGAUAAGGACUGAAGACAUACAACUUGAACAGAUCUGUCCUGAGGAGACCGUAACACCGAGUCAGGUAUGGAAAAUGAAGAUAACUAUAAAUGAAGAGGAGGCGCUGCCGGAAGUACCGACUACGCCACCCAACGAACCUCAGGACGACUAAGAAAACGGAGAGUCCCAUUCGGAGGACUUAAAAAACACCGAACGCCUUGCCAAGAGGUAAACUUGGUAGUUAUCCUUUCCCUUUUAAUUAUUUCAAAUAGUUUACUUAGUUAAUCAUGUUCGUAUUAUCCUAGAAAGAAAAUAAAAAUGUGAAAAAAAACUGUAAGCCCCAUGUGAGUAGACGAGUGGCAUAAAACCCAUAAGUACAUUCACUGUGGUGGCAUAAAAAUAAAAUAAAUAUUUUUCUGCUUUAAAAACAAAAAUAUAAAAACAGGGAGUAAUAUUUAUUAAGGAGUCUCAACAUGAUAAAGGCUAAAUAUUUAUGCUAACGCUUAAUCAGUUCCACAAGCUUUGUUGUCUAUUUGAGAUCCACAGAAUUUAAGAAUCAAGAAGACUAGCAGACGGAGGACAUUCUAAUCGCUGUCAAAAUACUGCUGACUUUCAAACACACCUCUGCCACCUGCUAGUUACAUCAAGAGAAAUUACGUCAAAAUUCAGCUUGGGGGAGAGCACCCCCAUUUAUCUCGAUAAGUAUUUCUAUCCAUCUUUAUACUUAUACUAUAUUAGAAUAUAAAUACACAUAACUAUAAAAAACCAAAUAAAGAUUUUAUGCUUAUAUAUAUUUUGCUUAGUGUGUUUAAUAAAUAAAUAAAGUGGCUAUGCUAAUCUGUAUCUAAUAAAACUUAAGCAUGGAUAUGAUGAAUAGUUGCUCUGCCUAAUUUGCAAAUUUGAAGUUCUCUCUCAAGUUUAGAUAUAACUGUUAUAAUUUAAGGCUUGCUCUAGACCUAAACUUGUGGGAUGAAAACUUGAUCUGAAGUCUAAGUUGUUAACAGAUACGAUAUGGGAAGGUUGAGCUGCUGUUUAUCUGUUCCUAGAGAUGCUAGAAUUCUGGAGAAUUUUAUCUUUAAAAAUCUUUAAAAUGUUGCAUGAUGAGUUCCUGUAUGAUGAGAGUUUAAAUUCCUACCACAGCCAUAUAUACAUGCUUGCUAGACCUUGAGCCACACAUUUACUAUUUACUGCUUAUGAGCAUUGAGUGUGGUCAAGCUGUGUAGACCCUUAGGAGCUUGUCAUGUGGUUAAAUCAAGAUUCACUUGCACGAUUACUCAUACAUGCUACUUCUACUCUGGAAGUACCAUCCACAUAUAUCCACUCAUUUCUAUCUCCAGUUUUACCCAAAAUUAUUCUACUCCUAAUCUGGGAGAUAAUAGCCAAAAACAUUUUCCUAUCCCUGUUAUUCUCUGUGAAAUAAAUGCUCCAGUUAUUUUGGUUACUACCACUUGCUACAUUAUUUCAGGAGAUGAGUGCUCUAGUAAAAAAAGAGAAAAAAAAGAAGAAAAAAAAAGAGAAAAAAAAUAAUAAUAUACGAGGAAAUAAAAAGGAGCAAGUGCUCGGAACCUCGAAAGAAAAGAAAAAGAAGAGCAUCUCAUUCUCCUCAUAAAGUUUCAAAAGCAAGGAAGGUAUGUAUCCCCUCAAAGAGCAAAGUAGAAUUAGACUUCCACCACCAUUGUUAUCACCAUCAUCACCAUACACCAUUCAUUCGCCACACAUGCACAUCUUGAUUUGGCUUAUUGAUUUGUUUCUUUGGAUCCAUGGUUUGACUAUGCAAUAAAUGUCUUGUAAGUAUGUAUACUUUAUCUCCCACCUAUGAGCUCCAGAUAUUAAAGCCUUAUUAGAGUAGGGUGAGAGAAAAGACAAUGUCACUAUGCUUCAUACAAAAAAUACUACAUAUUUUGAGAGAAGGCAUAUACCAUCACUGCCUUGGUAAGGAUCCAAAAAUACCACAAUAGAGAGACCUGAGAGAAUCAUACAAGGAAUUUCUGAGUUUUAUUUGAAAAUCUGCAAAAACCCUAGAGCUAUAGCUGAUCAAGAAUAAGAGAGAUGGCACUUGGCUAGACUGUUCUGUCUUUUAACCACUCAAGACAGAAGUGAUAGUUACAAGUCCCAUGGUAAAGGUAAAGUAAGUAAGUUUUAAGUCUUGACAGUUUACUCUAACUCAGAGAUGAGAUCUUAUUUAAAAAGCAUGUGUACAUCAAUUUUUAAAAAUAUUGCAACAAUUUAUGAUCCAUAGCUGAGUCUAUCCUUGCUCAGGGACGAGCAAGAGGUAAGCUUGGGGGAGUUUGUUGACGGUCCUUAAGUAUCAAAUUUACUUAUCAAAUAAACAAAGAAAAGGAUCCAAAUGAAAUCAACAUCUAGACUUAGGGUUUUAUCUGACAUAAUUCCACGAGUUUUGGUGUUUGUCUAUUUCUACAGGGGGUUAUCAGGAAAUAAGGAAGAAAGGCCCACAUGUCGGGAUUACAUAGAGAUAUCAACCCACCGCGCAAUUUUCUACCAUCUAGAAGACUCCAGAAGCCACGGGAAGGAAGCGGAGCCCGAAAGGGGCCAGGCCCAGGGCGCCCGCCCUGAGGACCUAGGCGCCCGCCCCCCUCUAGACUCCGUUCCGGACUCUCUUCGCACACGACAUCCCACCGACCUAUUGGAUCCAGAAUAACAUAGUACCACCUCGCCUAUCGACCCAAAAACGCAUAGAAGGGGAGGACUAUAUAAGGAGACCCCCUCUGGCCCCUGGAGGAGACAAGAAAUUAUCAUAGAGAUUGAGGGGUGCCCUCGAAGGAAAACCUCUUCUCUAAAUAAUAUUUCUUUUUAGGCUUAGCAACCAAUGUAAAGUAGAAAUCGAUCUUCUAGUUUCUACUAGAUUGAGAGAGAUAGAGUGGAGGUGUGGAUCGGAGGAAGGCCGGCCUGUCGGUGUCUACUCCGAGUUGUACCUGCGGG
rnacentral:lncRNA from 1 species